GUUGGCUUUAUCGACCCUGCACACACCGGUAUAAUUGGGUGUGGAAAUCCCACUGAACGGGCACGGUCUAUGUCAAAUCGGUACAUGUUAGGGAAACCGGGGCAGAUAUUUUUGGUUCCAUAUAACUCAGGUGCUCAUUGGAUGUUGUCGGUGGUGAACCCGGAUGAAGAAGUCGUGCAUUUCAUGGAUCCGCUAAAAAGGCGACUUUGUGCUGGUGAAUGGAAAGCUAUUGUCGACAACUCCAUUAAAAUCUUCAAUGCCCAAAAGGGUAGGAAAGGAAAGAAAAUAAUCCAAUGGAAGAAUCUUGCUG